rnacentral:rRNA from 1 species
GACGAACGCUGGCGGCGUGCCUAAUACAUGCAAGUCGAACGCUUCUUUCCUCCCGAGUGCUUGCACUCAAUUGGAAAGAGGAGUGGCGGACGGGUGAGUAACACGUGGGUAACCUACCCAUCAGAGGGGGAUAACACUUGGAAACAGGAGCUAAUACCGCAUAACAGUUUAUGCCGCAUGGCAUAAGAGUGAAAGGCGCUGUCGGGUGUCGCUGAUGGAUGGACCCGCGGUGCAUUAGCUAGUUGGUGAGGUAACGGCUCACCAAGGCCACGAUGCAUAGCCGACCUGAGAGGGUGAUCGGCCACACUGGGACUGAGACACGGCCCAGACUCCUACGGGAGGCAGCAGUAGGGAAUAUUCGGCAAUGGACGAAAGUCUGACCGAGCAACGCCGCGUGAGUGAAGAAGGUUUUCGGAUCGUAAAACUCUGUUGUUAGAGAAGAACAAGGACGUUAGUAACUGAACGUCCCCUGACGGUAUCUAACCAGAAAGCCACGGCUAACUACGUG